rnacentral:miRNA from 1 species
AGGUGACUGCCUGGAAUUGGG